rnacentral:rRNA from 1 species
UAGGGGAUAUUGGUGAAUGGGCGAAAGCCCGAACCAGCAACGCCGCGUGUGCGAAGAAGGCCUUCGGGUCGUAAAGCACUUUUACUCGGGAAGAGGAAGGACGGUACCGGGGGAAGAAGCCUCGGCUAACUACGUGCCAGCAGCCGCGGUAAAACGUAGGAGGCGAGCGUUAUCCGGAAUUACUGGGUGUAAAGGGCGAGCAGGCGGUUGGAUAAGUUGGGUGUGAAAUCCCCGGGCUUAACUCGGGAGUUGCAUUUAAAACUGUCAGACUAGAGUGCAGGAGAGGAAAGCGUAAUUCCUAGUGUAGCGGUGAAAUGCGUAGAUAUUAGGAGGAACACCAGUGGCGAAGGCGGCUUUCUGGACUGUAACUGACGCUGAGGCACGAAAGCGUGGGGAGCGAACA